rnacentral:tRNA from 1 species
GCCUCGGUGGCUUGGUGGUCGGCACGCCUGACUGCUGAUCUGUAGGUCCCGGGUUCGAAUCCCGGUAGAGGCA